ACUAGGAAUGCAGUGAUAUUUUGCUGAAGAAGGGGAGACAGACUGCGGCUGUAUAACACAGAAAUACAUUGAAACUGUACAGGAUUUUAAUUUCCAUCUGGUGACCACACAUGGAUUAGCCCCACAGCAAGUCAAACUAUAAAAGUGCAG